GCUGGGUGCAGUGGCUCACGCCUGUAAUCCUAGCACUUUGGGAGGCUGAGAUGGGAGGAUUGCUUGAGGCCAGGAGUUCGAGACCAGCCUGGUCAAUAUAGUGAGACUCCAUCUCUU
ensembl:misc_RNA Metazoa_SRP Metazoan signal recognition particle RNA